GACGAACGCUGGCGGCGUGCCUAAUACAUGCAAGUCGACCUUAGUGGCGAACGGGUGAGUAACCCGUGGUUAACCUUCCCAUCAGAAGGGGUUAACACUUGGAAACAGGUGCUAAUACCGUAUACUGAUGGAUGGACCCGCGGUGCAUUACCUAGUUUGUGAGGUAACGGCUCACCAAGGCCACGAUGCAUAGCCGACCGGAGAGGGGAAUCGGCCACAUUGGAACUGAGACACGGCCCAAACUCCUACGGGAGGCAGCAGUAGGGAAUCUUAGGCAAUGGACGAAAGGCUGACCGAGAAACGCCGAGUGAGUGAAGAGGGUUUGCGGAUCGUAAAACUCUGUUGUUAGAGAAGUGGUAUCUAACCAGAAAGCCACGGCUAACUACGUGCCAGCAGCCGCGGUAAUAC
rnacentral:rRNA from 1 species